UUUAGAAAGUACCUUGGAACUAAGGACCUUCAACUGAGUCCCCAGUGAAAUAAUCAAAUUAAUAAACAUUUCACCAUGACAGUCUCAUUUAAACCAAAUUCAUGAACAAGUCAGGACAUUACCCUCAUGAUAUUACUGGUCCUCUUUGGAAAUGAAGGGCCAACAAUAAUGACAACAACACAGGAGCUGCAGGUGAGACCCUCAGAAGACUGAAACUGACGACCUUCCUCCCGGCUAGUAUGGAGAACUUUGUAGUGACCCAGUUCCACCAUGUAGGGGAACACAGAAUAAGCCUGUACCUUUGUCUUCAUGGCGCUAAAGAGAGCAAUUAUGUCUCUCCUCAAGGAAUCUUCUCUAAGUGUUUCUUUCCUAGUCAUUCUUGCCUCUCCUCCUGGACGUAUUCUACCAUGCCCUGGAAACCUCUCCACCCUGGAAGCUCACUCUAGCCCUGGGCUUAAUAUAUUGGAAGUACACUUUACCAUUUUGGCUCAUCUCUUUUACUGGCUGGUUCCUUUCAGAAACCCCAUUUUACAGAGAAUGACCAGACCCCCCACCCCGUGCCUUCUUUUCUAGGCUGCAUCCCUGACUCUUCCCAGUAUACUUUCUCCACAAUAUCCCCUUCCUCCGGUAACUUCACUC